GCGGACAAUGUGUGGAUGAAGAUGGCGACUUGCAUUCGUAAGGUGGCCUCGGAGGAGUUUGGAGUGUCCAGGGGAAGGAGAAGCGAAGAUAAGGAUACCUGGUGGUGGAAUGAUGACGUCCAGAAGGCGAUUAAAGAGAAGAAAGAUUGCUUCAGACGCCUAUACCUGGAUAGGAGUGCAGACAACAUAGAGAAGUACAAGAUGGCGAAGAAGGCCGCAAAGCGAGCUGUUGGUGAAGCAAGGGGUCGGGCAUAUGAGGACCUCUACCAACGGUUAGGCACGAAGGAAGGUGAAAGGGACAUCUAUAAGAUGGCCAAGAUCCGAGAGAGGAAGACGAGGGACAUUGGCCAAGUCAAAUGCAUCAAGGACGGAGCAGGCCAACUCUUGGUGAAGGACGAGGAGAUUAAGCAUAGAUGGCGGGAGUACUUCGACAAGCUGUUCAAUGGGGAGAAUGAGAGUUCUACCAUUGAACUAGACGACUCCUUUGAUGAGACCAGCAUGCGUUUUGUGCGGCGAAUCCAGGAGUCUGAG
rnacentral:rRNA from 1 species